AGAUUUGGACCCCUUGUGCGCAACUGGUGCAUAUGCGCUUUGAAGCGAAGCAUCAUUACUUCAAACUUUUGGCACAAUAUGUUGGAUGUUUCAAGAAUAUCACAAAGACAGUGCCCACAAGACACCAACGGCUACAAUGUUACUGGCUGAGUGAACAUCCGGCUUCCUCAGGUUGGACCAGGUUAGAGCAAUGAUUUAUUGUAAACUAUGAGCAGUGAAUAGGCCUUUUCGGUAAUUACGUCACAACUACACUGUUUUCAACUUAGGACCACCUUGGAAUGGAAUAGAUUUCAAGUUUGUUUCUCACGGGCCAUGGUCAGAGAAGCAGAACAUCCUUCUUCGACACAUGCAUAAAAAGAUUUUUGGAGUUUGACUAUAAAAUGUGAAAAAGUGGCCAUGCCCCCUCUUGACCCAUCAGCCUCGUUUUCGUGUUUAAGCUUAUUUCCACAUUUAUUGGUCAUAAUCCAAAAUUCUUUUUUAUGCAUGUGGUGGAGAAGGAUGUUCUGCUCCUCUGACCAUAGCCCGCGAGAAACAAAUUUGAAAUCCAUUCCAAUUAAGAUGGUCCUAAUUUGAAAACAGUGUUAGUCGUGACGUAAUUACCAGAAAGGUCUAUUGUUUCGCAGAUUUUGUUGGCUAAUAUAUAGGCUGUGUUAUUUCUUUUAUGGAGGGAAAGUUUUGCAGUUAAAAGACCUUCAAGAUGAAGAGCGCAGAUAACUGCUCCACACGUACGACAUCGACCAGAAUUCAAGUUUGACGCUGU